GGAGUUAUUAUUAUUCAUAGCAAUAAUAAUAACUAAAUUUUAUUUAAAAUGGACGUGGGUUCAAAUCCCACCAGCUCCU
rnacentral:tRNA from 1 species